UUUUUAAAAUAUACACGGUUUAUUUAGAAGGAUUUCUUUUAAUUCAAGACAUACAUUCUAAUGGGACAAGUGUAAGAUGAAAUAUGGAUUAUCAGAAAAACUUCCCAAAUUGUACAUUUCACUUUGCUGAUUCAAAGACCUUUGGAUAAUUAAAAAUAAAUUAAAAGAAAAAAGAAGAGUUCCUGUCGUGGAGCAGCAGAAACAAAUCCAACUAGGAACCAUGAGGUUGCAGGUUCGAUCCCUGGCAUUGCUCAGUGGGUUAAGGAUCCAGUGUUGCCGUGAGCUGUGGUGUAGGUGGCAGACAUGGCUGAGAUCCUGCAUUGCUGUGGCUCUGGCGUAGGCCGGCGGCUAUGGCUCCGAUUAGACUCCUAGCCUAGGAACCUCCAUAUGCUGUGGAUGUGGCCCUAAAAAAGCCCUCCCCACAAAAUUUAUUUCUACAGUACAGACUCAGGGAUAUGUAUUUUAUACUUUGGGUUAUAAUCUAAUACUCCAUUAUCUAUUUUAUUGUUUUAAUGUUUGCAACUUUGACCGUUGGGAGCUUUUGGCUCCUGAGUCCCUUUGACACACUCCUAUCUUUGUGAGUAUUGGGUACUUCCUAACUCUGGCACCAUAAGACACUCCAAGCUCAGCGUUCUCUUCUGACGCAACAGGUUAAGGAUCUGGUGUUGUCACUACAGCAGCUCCGGUCACUGUUGUGGUGCAGAUUCAGUCCCCAGCCCGGGACCUCCACAUGCUGGGAGUGCAGCCAAAAAAAAAAACAAAAAAAAAGAGGAGUUCCCAGUGUGGCACAACAGGAUCUGAUCCCUGGCCCAGGAACACCAUAUGCCUCAGGGUGGCCAAAAAAGAAAAAAUAAUAAAAUUUUUUUAAAAAGGGAGAGGAGGCAAGUUCCCAUCGGCUCAGUGGUUAAUGAACCCGACUAGUAUCCAUGAGGACACAGGUCCGAUCCCCGGCCUUGCUCAGUGGGUUAAGGAUCUGGGGUCACUGUGAGCUGUGGCAAAGGCCAGCAGCCUCAGCUCCAAUUCUACCCCUAGCCUGGGAACCUCCAUAUGCCUCGGGUGCGGCCUUAAAAAGAUAAAAGACAAAAAAAAAAAAAAAAAAAAGAGAGAGAGAGACACUUCACGCUCACUUUUUUUCCUUGUCCCAGCCCUAAAACCAGCCAUUUCUCUGAGGAAAUAAUAUAUGUUUCAAACAAAUCCUCCAAUAAUCUUGUCAGUAGUCCAGAUAUAUUUCACUGCAUUUGCGUAUGUGAUGAAAGAGUUAAUGUCAGGAGUUCUCUGAUGGCCUAGUUCUCGCCGCUGUGGCUCUGGUUGCUGCUGUGUGGUGUAGGUUCAGUCCUUGGCCCAGGAAUUCCCAUAUCCUGCCUGUGUGGCAAAAAAGAAACAAAACACAAAACAAAAACAAAAAACAAGAAAGAACCUGAAAUAAAUGUUGCAACUCUCAUCUAAAAGAAAAGAAAGAGUUAACUUGUUCAAUUAAUUUUUUUUUCUUUUUUUUUUCAGCCACACCCACAGCAUAUGGAAGUUCCCUGGCCAGGGAGCAAAUCCAAGCCACAGAUGGGCCCUAUGCCACAGCUGGGGCAACAAUGGAUCCUUAACCCACUGCUCCAGACUGGGGAUUGAACCUGUACCACCACAGAGACAACACUGGAUCCUUAAUCUGUUGCACCACAGUGAAAACUCGAUUAAAUUUUAAAACACAAUUCAAUUUUUUCUGGCCACACCUGUGGUGUGUGGAAGUUCCCGGGCCAGGGACUGAACCCAAGCCACAGCAGUGACCCAAGCUACUUCAGUGACAACGCUGGAUCCUUAACUUGUUGUGUCACCAGGGAACUCCCACACUUCAAUUUUUGUAGCUCUACUGUGACAAGUCUUUUUAAAAUAUACUGGAAGCUGGAGUUCCCUGGUAGCCUAGUGUUUAAGGAUCCGGUGUUGUCACUACUGUGACAUAGGUUUGAUCCCUGGCCCAAAUGUAUGCCAUGGGCACAGAAAAGAAAAGAAAAGUAAAGAAAAAAGAAAAUGAAUAGAAUAGAAAAAUAAAAUAAAAUGUAAAACAUACUAGGAGCUCAAAACAUGAAAGGAAUCUGUCCCUUUCUCCAUUUCCAAGAGACCUUGUGGAACUGAACCUCUGCAAAACCACUCUGCUAAGGCUCGGGGGCAGUCUGCCCACUCUUCCUACAGAGGUGACCUAGCUCCUGUGUGCUCCCAUCUGAGCUUCCCAGUGGAGUUACCAAAGGGCAAAGUAAUUCCUGGGACCUUUCCCUCUCCAACCUCUCCCCAUCGCCCAUCUAGUGGGUGACCAUUCCUGGAACUCUGCAGACCCCGCCCAGGCUGGCCAGGUGAAGGCAGAUGGCAGGAGAGCAGGAAGGCUCCAGGAAGGAAGCUGGCAAGCCAAGCCACUGGGACCGGCAUGCAAGAGGCAGAGGAAGGGGUGUGGGCUCGGCACAUUUGAUCCAGAGGUCUCCUGGGGUUUGGGGCCGGGGUGUGCAAAAUCCAGGGGUAAGUGGAGGAGGGUUUCCCCAGAGCAGCCCUGCGUUCUGCAGAAGAGAGUCAGCUUCUCGGGAAAGAGCUGCCUUUACAAGCCGGAAGAGAGCGAGACUGCAGCUCACUCUGGGAGGACACGGAGCUGCGUGACUCAUCCCCCAGCCCUGCUGGCUCCCACUGGCACAGUGCUGGGUAGCACGGGGCCAGGGAUUACAGGCGGAGUCCCAGCCCGGCCCUGGCCCCGGAGGCGGUCCAAGCAGGCAAUCACAAUCCAGCACGUAGGGACACAGGCAGGGUGCUGUGGGAGCACUAAGGAGGAAGCAACUCAGCACCAAAGGAGUCUGGGCAGGCCUCACAGAGGAGGUGACAUCAUCCAAAAGAGGAACAGAAUUGGCCAGGCAGCUGUAGCCAGGGAAGAAGGGGAGAGCACUCCUGGGCCGAGGAGGAGAGAUGCAAAGGCACGGAAGUGUCUGCAAGGCGUUGGCACCGUGCCUGCCGCCCAGUGAGUCCUCCAUAAAUGCGAGGCAUUAUCGCUGUGGUUGACUAUCAUCAUUAUGCUGAUUAAUCUGGACUCAUUUAAUAUUCUUACUAUCUUAAAGGGAGUUACUACACAUGAGCACAUGUCUAAAUAUACAGCACUUUUCACUGAACUUUUCUCAACUCUAAAAGUGGCCCUUGUGUGAAGAUUAAGGCUACCGGCACACACAGUGCUCAGCAGGAGUGGUGGGGAGCACAGAGAGGAGCCCAGCCCUGGAUGUGAUCUGGGGGAAGGCUUGUUUUCUCUCUCUCCUGGAGGCCAGCUCCUGGGGUUGCUGUGCCUGGGGGGCACUGACGUGGAGAUCCUUCGGGGUCUUUAAAGAUGACCAGGCAACAAAGCAGGGAGUUAGCUAGGUGGGGUCACUGGUGAUUUCAAAAGUGACAUAGGUGGCACCUGGUGCCAUGGAACUGGAGCUCCUGGUGCUGCUUGCAAGUCUUUCCAGCUGGGACAAGGCAGGUUGUACCUGCCUUUCUAUCCCAGCAAGGUCCUUAUUUCAGAAAAAAAAAAAAAAAAAAUGUACUUGGCCCUGGGUGGGGCCCCACUUCUGUGUACCUGCUCCAGUCACGGUUACCUGUUGAGUCUUCCUGUCUCAAUGAGAAAGGUGCCCGCCUGGGUGUACCUGUCUUUAUAACCAUGGCUCUGCCUCCCGUGGUGUGUGGACCAACCUUUGUGCACUUGAUUCACUCGAUGCACCCCAGACUGUACCUUCCGCAUACUUAAGUCUGAACGACCGCAGCUAUACCUGUGUUGUACUGCCGUACUCUCGGUCAGCCCGCGCCAGACUCGGAUCGCUUACCUGGUCCAACCUGGGCUUACCUUAUGCCUGUUGGCCGUACACUCCUGCCCUGCAGAUCGCGCCGCCCCGGGGGCGCCUCGAGGCUCAAAUAAGGGGCUGCGAACGGCGACCGCUGACCACAUUCCUGGCCGGGCAGAGCGCGCUCCGGCUGC
rnacentral:lncRNA from 9 species